UAGGCUGACAGUAAGGUUCCUGAUGCCCAAUCUGCUCAUGAGAAAACCAUAACUGCGUUGUUAGCUGCCCAGGGUGGAGCUAAUCUAAUUUAUGGUGCUG
rfam:Desulfitibacter sp. BRH_c19 BRHa_1004651, whole genome shotgun sequence.